rnacentral:rRNA from 1 species
ACACUCCUGCGGGAGGCAGCAGUGGGGAAUAUUGGACAAUGGGCGCAAGCCUGAUCCAGCCAUGCCGCGUGAGUGAUGAAGGCCCUAGGGUUGUAAAGCUCUUUCACCGGUGAAGAUAAUGACGGUAACCGGAGAAGAAGCCCCGGCUAACUUCGUGCCAGCAGCCGCGGUAAUACGAAGGGGGCUAGCGUUGUUCGGAUUUACUGGGCGUAACGCGCACGUAGGCGGACUAUUAAGUCAGGGGUGAAAUCCCGGGGCUCAACCCCUGAACUGCCUUUGAUACUGGUAGUCUUGAGUUCGAGAGAGGUGAGUGGAAUUCCGAGUGUAGGGGUGAAAUUCGUAGAUAUUCGGAGGAACACCAGUGGCGAAGGCGGCUCACUGGCUCGAUACUGACGCUGAGGUGCGAAAGCGUGGGGAGCAAACAGGAUUAGAAACCCCAGUAGUCCCA